rnacentral:lncRNA from 1 species
GCCAGGUCCGGUGGACAUGGGUGAGGACUCCGAGAUGAGCCUUCCUUUCUGAUGGGGGCACUGGGAGGUACCCAUCAUGGAUGAGGACUCCGUGAUGAGCCUUCCUUUCUGACGGGGGCACUGGGAGGCGCCAUCCCCACAUGUUUCAUCAUACGUGGUGAAGACGCUCGAGGAAGCACACUCCAGAGAGGCUUCAGAAAGGUUUCCACGCAUUGGUGGAUCUGCUGUGCUUGUUCUGUGCUGAACUCAAC